UUGCUAGACGUUUUCCGUUUACUGCACCAUUCCCUGAAAACUCUAGAGACUGCAGUGAGUGAAAAUCCCAGGCGGUCAGCGGUUUCAGAGACAGGGCGACAGUGACGAAUUUGCCAACCUUGGUGUUCUCUGGCAAAUGCCAAACAUCCUGCACGGUGUUGGGCUGUAAGCACAGCCCCCACCUGUUUACGUCGGGCCCUCAUACCACCCUCAUGGAGUCUGUUUCUGAUUGUUUGAGCAGACACAUGCACAUUUGUGGUCUGCUGGAGGUCAUUUUGCAAGGCUCUAGCAGUGCUCCUCCUAUUCCUCCUUGCACAAAGGCUGAGGUAGCGGUCCUGCUGCUGGGUUGUGGCCCUCCUCCAUGUCUCCUGAUGUACUGGCCUGUCUCCUGGUAGCGCCUCCAUGCUCUGGACACUACGCUGACAGACAGCAAACCUUCUUGCCACAGCUCGCAUUGAUGUGCCAUCCUGGAUGAGCUGCACUACCUGAGCCACUUGUGUGGGUUGUAGACUCCGUCUCAUGCUACCACUAGAGCGAAAGCACGGCCAACAUUCAAAAUUGACCAAAAUAUCAACCAUGAAGCAUAGGCACUGAGAAGUGGUCUGUGGUCACCACCUGCAGAACCACUCCUUUAUUGGGGGUGUCUUGCUAAUUGCCUAUAAUUUCCACCUGUUGUCUAUCCCAUUUGCACAACCACAUGUGAAAUUGAUUGUCACUCGGUGUUGCUUCCUAAGUGGACAGUUUGAUUUCACAGAAGUGUGAUUGACUUGGAGUUACAUUGUGGUGUUUAAGUGUUCCCUUUAUUUUACGUGUUCCCUUUAUUUUACGUUGAAGUGGACCACUGGUUUGCGUCCUCUGUUGUCCGAUUGUCAACCUUACUCGGUAAAAUAGAUGUAUAACUCAUGCAUGAGGAGAGAAAUAAUGACACUGACACGUAUAGUUCAGUUGCAAAGUUUCUUCUGUUUACUGGUAAAUCGGGCGUGGCUUUUAUAGCCAAAAUCACGUCAUAAAGUAAUACGUAUACAUUUAUAUAACAUGUUUUGCAAGCAUUUCAUUGGGUAAGCUUUGUUGCUAUGCUUCUUGUUUUUCUUCCCUCGGGGAUGUACACAUUCUUUAUCAUGAGGGUGUUGUCUCCGAGAGGUAUUGCCAUUUUGUUAUGCUCAGCGAGUUUUCGUAGCUGUCAGCCAUCUUAAAGCAUAGAGAUAAAAUGAUUAGGUUUUGACAUGACAUGUAGACAAGUAUAAUUUUUAUAGCAUCCAAUCUUUGGUGUCAAUAACAAGAGAUAGAAAAGGGAAUUUUCAGACCCUACGCACCUCUCCAUCACAGUCCCCCCUUGAAAUGACCUUUUUUAUCUCUUCCCUGUCCUAAAACACCUGGCCCUUCCUGCUUGGAACUCUUUUACAUACCGUAGGGGUUGGGCCCGUGGCUUAUCCAUGGGUCGCCCCGAAUAUGUCACAGUUAGGGCAGUCAAGUGUACCUUUCCCUUGUCAUAACAAACUAUUGAUGGUCAUCUCUUGAGGUACCAGCGACUGGAGUGGUGUGUAUGGUUCUGUAUCUUGGUAGGGUUCGGUGAGUUGGUUUAAGAAUAUGGGUGACGUUCCCUGAGUGGCUUUAAGGAUAUACUUCCUAAUGCAAGGGAUGACGCAGCAAGCCAGAAGCAUUAUGAUCAUGAGGAUUACACAUAUAAUGACACCAAGUUGUGCUGCAAUCUUUUUCCAGCCGUUUAACCAGCUGAACCACUGGUCCCACCCAUGGUCAACACCUGAGUUCCUUUUUAGUUCUUCCGAAAGGUCCUUCAAUUUCUCAAUGGCCAAGGUCACUUUACCGUUUGGGCCCGUGUUAUCGGGUAUGAAGGUACAGCAAGUGCUGGUGUCAGGGAGCAUUUUGCACACCCCUCCCUUUUCUGCUAACAUGUCUAGUGCCAUCCUAUUCUGGAAGGUCAUCUGGGAAGUGGCUUCUAGUUGUUCUGCCACACAAUGGAGGGCAUCUCUAGUGUAAUUUAUGAAUCUCUGUUGGUUGUAAUAUAUGUAGUUAAUCCAGUCAACAUUCUUGUUGAUUGUAAUUAUGAGGAACAAUGACUCGAAGCCCGCUGCUACUUGGUCUCUGGCUUUGAACUCAUUAGGGACCGCCCUUGGCACUCCAAUUGAGUCGAUAUAAACAUGGGGGUCAAAGCUUCCCUUGGCUGCCUCUCUCUUAGUACGGGUCUGUUGGGCGUGUGUGGGGGGGCUGUGGCUGUUGGUCAGUCCCCAUUAUGUACAAAAAGCAAGUAAAAAGUAGGCACUCGUAAUAAAAUCGUCUAAAAUAUAACAAAACAACCUAUUGAUAUUAUAAAGCUGCACCAAAAACAAGUGUAAAACUCCUCCAAACACUUUAGUGAAUAUACUUAAAAAUAAUAAGGUGCGCUGUGUCUUUAAGACCCAAUAAUAAUAUAAAGUGCAACAAGUGCAAACUAUCUAAUAAAAUGCAAAGUAAUACAAAGUGCACUUAAAAUGUGGAAUAUAAAAAUAUUAUACAUACAUAUGUCCUCUCAAAUGAAGAUAUACAUAGAAAGAAGAGAGACACAAAAAAGACCAAUAGUGUGAAACCGUAUAAAAAAUAAAAUAUGGAUAAUAAAUGCCAAAUAUUGCACUCACAAAAGUAGAGCAGAAUAAGCCUGCUCUAACUUAAACAGCUUCUUCAAAUACAGGACUGCACAGACGAAAAAUAUUCCAAAAUAUUUAUUGCCCAGCACAGCACUAAUAUGUCACCUUCCUCCACAUUCAGUAUUCAGUUACAGAGCAUUCGGUAGUAUGCAGCAUAAGGGUGUCGACUAGUCCCUUUGUAGGUUCGCCGCGGUUAUUACCGUCUGUUUCCUCAAACUUCCAGGGGGAGGGACUUCCUCAAGUGCGUGACGUAAGGUGCGUAACUUGCGUGAUGACGCGUUUCGCCGUAUUCACGGCUUCAUCAGAUCUGCCCAUCCAUGUCCUUUACGUUCUUAUAUACCCAUCUCAAUGGGUGUGUUCAGGUGACUGUCAUGUAAAGUCCAUUAUCUUAUUGCUGGUAUCAAUCAAAUCAAUUAAAUACAUACAAACAAUAUUACUUUAUUCAAAAAACAUCAUAAUUCAAAUUAUUGCAUUAUUUAAAAACAUAUAUAUACAUUCAAACACAUCGUUUCCCAAAGAAACUUAUUUCAAGAGACAUAUUUAAAGAGACAUGCUUAAAAGCAUCACUUCCCUAAGAGACUUAUUUAAAGAGACAUACUUAAAAAUACAUAUUUAAAAACGUGCUAACAUGGGGCCUGGCAUUCUUGGGAAUAGAGAUAGUGAAAAAAUCACGGAGAGGGGGAAAUCAUAUUGAGGAAACAGACGGUCAACAGACGGUAAUAACGGCGGCGAACCUACAAAGGGACUAGUCGACACCCUUAUGCUGCAUACUACCGAAUGCUCUGUAACUGAAUACUGAAUGUGGAGGAAGGUGACAUAUUGGUGCUGUGCAAUAAAUAUUUUUCGUCUGUGCAGUCCUGUAUUUGAAGAAGCUGUUUAAGUUAGAGCAGGCUUAUUCUGCUCUACUUUUGUGAGUGCAAUAUUUGGCAUUUAUUAUCCAUAUUUUAUUUUUUAUACGGUUUCACACUAUUGGUCUUUUUGUGUCUCUCUUCUUUCUAUGUAUAUCUUCAUUUGAGAGGACAUAUGUAUGUAUAAUAUUUUUAUAUUCCACAUUUUAAGUGCACUUUGUAUCACUUUGCACUUUAUUAUAUAGUUUGCACUUUAUAUUAUUAUUGGGUCUUAAAGACACAGCGCACCUUAUUAUUUUUAAGUAUAGUCCCCAUUAUGUGUAAGGGCAUAACGACCGCUGCCAAAGCACACUCUCCAUACCAAUCAGCGGGGAGUUUGCUUCUCAACCUCAUGUCGCCACAUAUCCAAUAUAUAUCGCCCAGAGACCGGGUUUGGUUUUUUACCUUGUCACAUCCCAGUGAAGAGUAUGUACCACAGUAUCCCAUGGUAAGGUUGCCCACUUCUACCCCCCUUUUUUCAUAGCAUCCAUAACAUGUGUAAUUUCCUGGAUAUAUUGUGACACCCUCUUUUAGCUUAGUUAUUCUUACUAGGAUGGGGUAUUCUUUUUUCCAGUUCUCACACUGGGUCUGGUUCGUGGUUGUGUUUGUGUAUAGGCUUAAGAAGCAGGAUUCCUCGCUGGAGGGCAAGAAGUGUGGUCUUGCCCCCCCACAUACGUAGCAGUUGGUUUUGUUGUGUUUAUUGGCAUUAUAUCUCAUCCAUUCCAACCACAGGUUGGUAUCUGAGAAACCUGUCUCAGCAGCUAUGGUGUCUUCGAAUGUGGGAUCAGCUAUGGCCAUCAUGGUUUUAUUUAUUGUUUUAUUUAUUUAUAAAAUAUUUUACCAGGAAAGAUACAUUGAGAUUUCUCUGGUUUUUUUUAAGUAUGUCCUGGGUCCACAAAUCACUGCAUUGUUACAUUAGGUACAACAAAAUACAAAAACAAUUUUAAUACACAAUAUAUACAAAAUUUAACAUAGAACAGGCAGGAAAUAUAUAAUCAACCAUAACACAUGCAUUCUGUUUUGAGGUAUGUAGAGAGGGAUCUCUUAAAUGACUUUAGGCUUAGGGAAGAUUUUAAAUUGCGCAGGAGGUCGUUCCACAAUUGCAGCACUAUGUAGGAGGAGGAUCGGGCCGCUUUCUUUUGUGUACUUAUCUUCCCUUAGCUGGUUGGGUAGUGGUGUUAGGUGCUACCCAUUCACUGGAAUUGUACAUGUCCUUAAGGUGGAAUUUACCCUUUGCUCCAUUUGAGCCCCCCGCCACCCAUAUGGACAUUAUAUAUGUACCAGCAUCGGAGGGACUAGGGUUCUCAAUGGUUAGUGUGUGUUUCAUUUGGCCUGAACCUCCUUCGUUCAGGCACGUCUUGUUUGUUCUUAACAAGGUCAUUCUACUUAUCAGGGAAUUUCCAUUUUUAUCUUUCUUAUCCAAGGCACUUUGUGGUCUGUAUCCCCAAUCUGGUCCUGUAUUCCAUCCCACCGCUCCCCAGUAACUGCACUCGUGUCCCCAGUAUUCGUCUGUAACACAAAUAUAAGUUGAUCUAGACCUAGGCGUGUCUCUAUAUAAGUUACAUUGCCAGGGGACGUGUGGGCAAGUUACUAUGUCACAAUAGUCAAAGGUGUAGGUAGCCACAUGUGUGUUGGAAGAAUUAUACCAGAAGGUUACCACAUUAUCAUCAUCUUUGGUUAUUGAAACAUGUAGCGCUAUUGUUAACCUUAUAGCAAAAAGGAUAUAUAUCGGGUGAACCAUGGUCUCUUAUUGUACUGUUUCUGCCGGAUCUUGAGUCUUUUUGCAGCGAGAGGCGUGUAUCCAACUGCUCUUUCCCGUCAGUUUUACAGAUGUCGGGGUAGUAAGCAGCACCUGGUAUGGCCCUUCGAAUCUGGGUUCUAGAGAGUGCUUUCUCACAAACUUCUUUACCAGGACCCAGUCUCCAGGGCAUAAGCUAUGAGACCCUGUGUUGGCUUCUGGAUCUGGAAUGGAGGAAAAUACUUGUGCAUGGAUUUUGGUCAAUUGUUUGGACAAUGCAAUUACAUAAUUCACCAACAUAUCUGCGCUCAGUUGUAGUUAUUUCACGUGUUCCCCUUAUUUCACGUGUUCCCCUUAUUUCACGUGUUCCC
rnacentral:lncRNA from 1 species